GACAGAGGGUGCAAACGUUGCUCGGAAUUACUGGGCGUAAAGGGCGUGCAGGCGGUCUGUUAAGUCUAGGGUGAAAGCUCCCGGCUCAACUGGGAGAGGUCCUUGGAUACUGGCGGACUUGAGGGAGGCAGAGGAAAGUGGAAUUCCCGGUGUAGUGGUGAUAUGCGUAGAUAUCGGGAGGAACACCAGUGGCGAAGGCGGCUUUCUGGGCCUUACCUGACGCUGAGACGCGAAAGCGUGGGGAGCGAACCGG
rnacentral:rRNA from 1 species